UUUAUUUGAUGUUACCUUGACUACAUGGAUAUCCGUAGUAAUUCUAGAGCUAAUACAUGAGAGCACGCCCGACUUUUGCGGGAGGGCGGCAUUUAUUAGAUCCAAAGCCAACACGGGGGCGACUCCGUCUGGGGGUGAGUCAUGAUAACUGAGCGAAUCGCAGGGGGCCCUUUUGCGGCCGGCGAUGAUUCAUUCAAAUUUCUGCCCUAUCAGCUUUCGAUGGUAGGAUAGAGGCCUACCAUGGCGUUCACGGGUAACGGAGAAUGAGGGUUCGACUCCGGAGAGGGAGCCUGAGAGAUGGCUACCACAUCCAAGGAAGGCAGCAGGCGCGCAAAUUACCCAAUCCUGACUCAGGGAGGUAGUGACAAUAAAUAACAAUACAGGGCCCUUGCGGUCUUGUAAUUGGAAUGGAAAAAACGUAAACAAGAUAUUGAGGAUCUAUUGGAGGGCAAGUCUGGUGCCAGCAGCCGCGGUAAUUCCAGCUCCAAUAGCGUAUAUUAAAGUUGCUGCAGUUAAAACGCUCGUAGUUGAAAGUUGGUGCUGCUGAUUUUCUUUUGGGGCGGCCUGCGCCUCCCUGCGGCGCGCCCCCUUUUGCGAGGGGGAAUAUGCGGGCGGGGGCUGACGGCGCGGUUGCCCUGAGCAGCGCCAUCGAAUGAAUGGCCUGGGGCGCGCGCGAAAGGGCGUGCCUCCUCCAUCGCAAGAUGGGCCGAUUACCUUGAGAAAAUCGGAGCGUUCCAAGCAGGCCGUAGCGCUUGACUGAACGGAUUAGCAUGGAAUAAUAGAAGAGGACUUUGGUCGAUCUGUUUGUUGGCUUUAUAGACCUGGGUAAUGAUGAAUAGGGACGGUCGGGGGCAUUCGUAUUUCAUUGUCAGAGGUGAAAUUCUUGGAUUGAUGAAAGACGAACCAGUGCGAAAGCAUUUGCCAAGGACGCUCCCAUUAAUCAAGAACGAAAGUUAAGGGAUCGAAGACGAUCAGAUACCGUCGUAGUCUUAACUAUAAACGAUGCCGACUGGGGAUUGGCGGGCGUCUUUCUAUGGAUGACCCCGUCAGCACCCUAUGAGAAAUCAAA
rnacentral:rRNA from 1 species